AUACGUAGGUGGCAAGCGUUGUCCGGAUUUAUUGGGCGUAAAGCGAGCGCAGGUCGGUUUUUUAAGUCUGAUGUGGAAGCCUUCGGCUCAACCGAAGAAGUGCAUCGGAAACUGGGAAACUUGAGUGCAGAAGAGGACAGUGGAACUCCAUGUGUAGCGGUGAAAUGCGUAGAUAUAUGGAAGAACACCAGUGGCGAAGGCGGCUGUCUGGUCUGUAACUGACGCUGAGGCUCGAAAGCGUGGGUAGC
rnacentral:rRNA from 1 species